rnacentral:sRNA from 1 species
UCUAUUACAAAAUAAAAUACCUACGCACAC